rnacentral:siRNA from 1 species
UUAACCCACAAAUCUCAAAACGAU